CCAGCACCUGCGGUAAUUCCAGCUCCAAUAGCGUAUAUUAAUACUGAUGCAGUUAAAAAGCUCGUCGUCGAACUCGUGACUUCGCCGGCCCGGCUCGCUGUCUAGUACAGCGUUUGCUUGGUGCCUGCGGGUCAUGCGCCUGGAAAUCACUUCUGCCCUUGAUUGGAUGGUCGUGUGAUCCUGGCCAUUUACCUUGAGUAAAUCAAAGCGCUCCAAGCAGGCAAUUGCUUGAAUGCUUUAGCAUGGAAUAAUGAUAUAGGGCUUCUGUUCUAUUCGUUGGCUGAAGAACAAAAGUAAUGAUGGAUAGGGAUAGUUGGGGGUGCUAGUAUUUAGCGGUCAGCGGUGAAAUGCGAAGACCCGCUAAAGACUAACUUAUGCGAAAGCAUUCACCAAGGAUAUC
rnacentral:rRNA from 1 species